CCUACAACUCCCAGCAUGCUUCUCCGGGAACUGCAAGGCUCCGCGCAGGAAAUCGGCAGCUCAGCCUGCCACCUCUGCGCGCACUUUUCUUUAAAGUGUAGUUCCUCGGCGUGCCUCUGGCCUGUUCCCGGAGCUCCUCAUUCCCAGAAGCUACAGCACUACGGCUGACUCGACAAGACACCCGGAGAGGCGUGGCUUCGCUACCGGAAGGAGCUCCUGUUGCCAAGGGAACGGUGCUUGCCACGGCGCCUGCUCAGCCACUGAUGCACGGGCUGCUGCAGCGGCUGCGGGUUUUCCCAACUUGUGGAGGAGGCUUUGCUCACUGCCAGGCAUCCUUCCUGUGUAGGCAUAGAGAAGAAGGCUGAGGGACCCUCGCACCAGAUUUUCAUCCCAGAGACCGAUACGAGUGCGUCCGUUCCUGUUACCAGCUCCUGCGCCCGCCGGACUCACAUCAAAAACCAGCUGGUUUCUAAAUAUUUGAAUCACAUUAUGGGAUUGCUAGACAGACUUUCAGUCUUGCUUGGCCUGAAGAAGAAGGAGGUUCACGUUUUGUGCCUUGGGCUAGAUAAUAGUGGCAAAACAACAAUCAUUAACAAACUUAAACCUUCAAAUGCUCAAUCUCAGGAUAUCAUUCCAACAACAGGAUUCAGCAUCGAGAAAUUCAAGUCAUCCAGUUUAUCAUUUACGGUGUUUGACAUGUCAGGUCAAGGAAGGUACAGAAAUCUCUGGGAACACUAUUAUAAAGAAGGUCAAGCUAUUAUUUUUGUCGUUGAUAGUAGUGAUAGAUUAAGAAUGGUUGUGGCCAAAGAAGAACUCGAUACUCUUCUGAAUCAUCCAGAUAUUAAGCACCGUCGAAUUCCAAUCUUAUUCUUUGCAAAUAAAAUGGAUCUUAGAGAUGCACUGACAUCUGUAAAAGUGUCUCAAUUGCUGUGUUUAGAGAACAUCAAGGAUAAGCCCUGGCAUAUUUGCGCUAGUGAUGCCAUAAAAGGGGAAGGAUUGCAGGAAGGUGUAUACUGGCUUCAAGACGGAGUCUCCGUCACCAGGCUGGAGUGCAGUGGCCCAGUCUCAGCUCACUGCAACCGCCACCUCCCAGGUUCAAGCGAUUCUCCUGCCUCAGCCUCCCGAAUAGCUGGGACUACAGGUGCCCUCCACCACACCCGGCUAAUUAUUUUUUGUAUUUUUAAUGGAGACAAGGUUUCUCCACGCUCGAUCUCCUCACCUCGUGAUCCGCCCCGCCUCAGCCUCCCAAAGUGCUGGGAUUACAGGUGUGAGCCACCACACAGGCCUCUACUACUUACUAAUUAACCUCUCUAUUAGCUGACAUCUUUUAUCUUGUGAAGUUUUUCUUAAUCUGUAAAAUUUUAAAAAUAAAAUAUGUUAAAUUUUAUACAGAUUAAAUUAGACACUGUUAAAGUACCUUGCAUAAGAAAGCACCCCACAAAUGUAAAAUUUACUCUUUUACCUAAACACCCUGUUUAACAAAGGAAGAAACUAAGUCCACAGGAUUAAAAAGUGUAUCAUUUGGUUUCAAAUAGGAGAUGCUUUGGUUGCAUUUUCUUUUCUUUUUCUUUUUUUGAGAUGGACUUUCACUCUUGUCACCUAGGCUGUAGUGCAGUGGCUUGAUCUCAGCUCAUUGCAACUUCCGCCUCCUGGGUUCAAGAGAUUCUUCUGCCUCAGCUUCCCAAGUAACUGGGAUUGCAAGCACACACCACCACGCCCAACUAAUUUUUUGUAUUUUUUAGUAGAGACAGGGUUUUGCCUUGUUGGACAGGCUGGUCUCAAGCUCCUGACCUCAGGUAAUCUGUCCGUCUUGGCCUCCCAAAGUGCUGGGAUUACAGAUCAGAUCCAGGCUGUGAAGACAUGAAAAGAUAAUAGUUGGAACCCUCAGCAACGUUCAGUUCAAGGCAUCUGUCGAAGGCAAACAGAAUACUUUACAUUUUGUAAGAGACGUUCAUGCAUCUAAGAAUAUAAUUUUCUGCUUGCAUUUAUGGACUCUGGUUGAGUUUUUUACGAACAUAGGACUUCAGGUAUGCUAAUCUGGCCAUUAAUUAUUUAAAAACUAAAUCUUCCCUCCAAAGGGCUCCCUAGAAUUAUCAACUUCUUAGUGAAGAUCUACAGUUGAUUGUAUGUAGAAUGUUUAAAAGUCAGAGUUACAAGCUAUCUCAUCCCUUCAUGAUUUAUGAUAUGUUUAAAGUAUUUUAUUUUUUAAUUGUCUUUUUUAUAAAUUUAGUUUAUGACUUUGUAGUAUGAAUUGUGCUUGUGAAAAAUAACCUUAAACAUUUAUAAGGGACAUGGGUAAUUAAUAUACCUUCAAUUUUUACUAUGUGUCACCAUCAAUAAAAUGUAAAAUGUAAUGUA